AACGAACGCUGGCGGCAGGCCUAAAACAUGCAAGUUGAACGGUUGUAGCAAUACAACGAGUAGCGGACGGGUGAGUAAUGUAUGGGAACAUGUCCUUUAGUGGGGAAUAGCUUCUGGAAACGGGAGGUAAUACCGCAUAAGACCUGAGGGUGAAAGCAUUUAUGCGCUAAAGGGUUGGCCCAUAUCAGAUUAGCUAGUUGGUUAGGUAAAAGCUGACCAAGGCGACGAUCUGUAGCUGGUUUGAGAGGAUGAUCAGCCACAUUGGGACUGAGACACGGCCCAGACUCCUACGGGAGGCAGCAGUGGGGGAUAUUGCACAAUGGAGGAAACUCUGAUGCAGCAACGCCGCGU
rnacentral:rRNA from 1 species